AGGAAAGUUCUGCGCAUGCGUCAUCUCGCCCUCCAACAUCUACAAUUCAGACUCUUCAAGGUCGAUGCCGGGCCUGGUCCUGCGUCCCUCCUCUUGUUUCCCCCCCCCCCUCCCAUCCCGACCUGCGCUAAUAAUUCCCUGGAGUCGUCUCCCCUUCCAAGCACUGCACGCAUUUCUGCCCCGAAAUCAUUCACAGAGGCCUGCUUCCUGCAGAAAAACCACGUCGAAUCUCCUCGUAUUUAUAAGGCACCUACUAUGUGCCAGACACUGCUGAGUGCUGAGCGUGCACACAAAGAGCCCUCAGGCUGAUGGGGGAAACGAGGGCAAACCACCACAUAACAACCAAGUAUAGACGGCAUCAAUUUAAGAUAAUUACAGAGGGAGGACAUCCAGGAGGAUCAAAAAUGACUCCCUAUAAAAGAUGGGCCUAAAAGCAAGCAAGCAGAGGGCAAUAAAGAGGGAGAGUGGCGGGCAUGAGGGACGGCCAGAGGAAAAUGCUGCAGCCCGGAAAUGACCGGUCCUCCCCCGGCCCUCCCCGCAGGGUCGCUAAACUGCAGAAUGAAGGGAGAAGAUAUCCAUUUCAAGAUAUCGAAUAGGCAGGUGAAGAUGCAGGAUGGGAGAUGAAAUCUCAUGAUCAAGUGUGAUGGACUUACUUCUUUUCAACAAUGAGGAGAUCCAAAGCAAUUUCAACACAACAAAUAACAACUAAACUUUGGAUGGAAAGUGCCAUCCACCUCCAGAGAGAGAACAAUGGAGAUUGAAUGUGGAUUAAAG